CUGAGCCAAAAUCUCAAAGCGCUCGCGAUCCUCGGGAGCGAUGGCGUACCAAAACUUGGGAGCUCCAAAGUGCAGGUAGUUGACGCUGUAGAGGUCGAGGUCCUCCGUGUGCCAGGCGAACAGCGAGCGCCACAUGCCGAAGUACAGGUACGCGCUGUUCACGCCCUUCAGGGUGAUGUUCUUGCGCUUGAGGGUCCUGGAGAGGAGCGAGUCGAGGCGGCUCACGUCCCAGCCCCAGUUGGAUUUAUCAAAGAGCGACCCCGCGACGUCGGCGCAGUAGGUGGGCGGAUUGUACGUCACCUUCUUCCAAAACUCGCGCUCCAGGAUCUGCGUGGGGUACGGUGGAUGGCGCCGGGUCAGUCGCGUGGCGAUAUCGAGCGGCGACGGCGGAGAGCGGCGCGAGGUUCAAAUUGAAAAAAGUGCGAUCGUGUCUCCCCCGGGACGGGUGUAGUUUUUUC
rnacentral:lncRNA from 1 species